CGCCCAUCUCCGCCAAUUUUACUGGAAAAUCGUAUGGAUCGACUCAAAAUGACCACGGAAGGCAAGAGCGAGAGAGUGCCAGGAACGUCAGGGAGAGAGAGCGAGAGGAUGAUACAGAGCAAAGGGCCAUGGAUUGGACUCAACCCCGGGCCGCUGCUGUUAGGAUUACGCCUUCAUGGUACCGGCCCUACCAGUUGCAGUGCAGUGAGCUCUCAGGGCCACCGUAGAUGCUCCUACAUCAGAGGGUUUGGGGCAAACGACCUAAAUGGUCAGUCAGGUUGGAGG